CAAAAACUGGGCGGUGGCCGAAAGGAAACAAUCUAAUCUCCUUAAUCAAUAAGGCCGAGAGAGUUGAGAAGAAAAGUUGUCUUCCUUUCUUGCUUCUUCCUAAAGCAGACUCGAGUGAGUGAGAUGGAGUGUGAGGGAAAAGAAAGUGUAAGCUUCACCAACAGCUAACUAUGCGAACGAAAACAGAAGGGAGGUCGAGUGAGGAGUUGUGAUAGCAAACUUGAGCAGCCUGCAACAUCGAACUUUAAGGGAACAGGUAAGAGCUAUAACCACUCUCUGUUUAGUUGAUUUAAUCCAUUAAACAUAAGCCUUAUACGUUGAAUUUAGCUAGAGGCUUAGUUCUGGUUCAAGAAAAUGUUAUGCAGAAUUUGUAACUAAGAGCAGAAAUGAGGUAUGGUUUUGUUUAGUUCUUGAAUUUAGUCUAACAUUUGUUAAGGACAACCUGUAACCGAAGAGAUGUUCCCUGCAUGCUAACUGGAACCUGAGAUUGAAGGGGGAUCCUAAGGAACUAACAAAUGAUACCUUGUUGCUAUACGCAUGUGAAAGCAUUCAAAUCUGAUGCAUGCUGCAAUGCACCAGAUUUGCAGCUAGCUGCAGAAACGAAGCAGAACUCAGUCUUUUUUCCUUUGAACCCUGGUCAUGAACGACCUUGUUUAGCUUAGAGUAACCCGCAGUAGGUUAAGUGUCCUCUGCAUAAAUGAUUGAGACCAAAACUCAGGAAGCUUAACUAGUUGAUGCAACCUGCUGUGAAUCCGAGAGGGAGGAAAUUAACCUUGGAAAGAAAAGCUGCAAACCCUUAAACUUCUAAACUAACUUACAGAGUUGAACCUGUUAUAAUGCCUCUAAAUCUCCACCAGAAAGACAGAAAUGAGUAGGAACUAAACUGAUUGUUGAAGGCAGAAUAAGUUUAGUGAUGGCAGGUAACUUGUCCGAGAGAAUGAAGCAGAAUGUGCUUCUGAUCGGCUAUUUUUUACCCUGAAAAUGUGAGAACUGGGUGUCGAUGCCACCAUAAGAAAUGUAGGUUCAUGUCUUAGUUUCGAAACAUUAUAAAAUUUACCUCAAUCCGAUAAGUAUAGCUCCAGUUAUGAUCAAAACACCAGAGGUUGGCAAAGCUGCCUUUCUCGUUGCCUUUCUCUUGUUUUUCCGAAUGCAUUCUACUUGAUGCUGGCCGUGAAGAAACUUAUUUUUUUAACAGCAUUUCAUCUAAUUCCCAACCCUGUAAGCAUUCAUAAAUGAUAGUUAAGGUUGCUCUGAGAUUUAACGACUAUAUCUAGUUCACGAGUAGAGUUAAAUUAAAGCAAAUGAGAGGAAAACUCAUGAUAGUUAUAUACCUAAAUUGGCUUCUAAUCACUUAAUAUUGUCUUUACAAAUAUGUUAAAAACUAUAAAAUUUGAGGGACGAGUGUAGUGGAAUAAAAUUUAAUUUACAAAUAACUUGGAGUUUAACUAAUUUAAAAAGGGGACCAAUGGAAUAUUCCUAAGCUUUAAACUUAGAAUCUUGAGUAGAAAAUGAUUAAUCCUAAUGUAAACAUUUUAUAAAUUAUUAACUUGAAAAGUAUGUAUAAUUCGUGAUUUAAGAUAAUAAAGUCAAUAAGUCUCGAAAUAAAUUGGGGAAUAAAUAUUGCGUAUAUUUUAUAUUUUAAAGUCAAACCUAAUUCGAAUAAUUUAAGUAAUAAGUGAACAUAUACAAAUUAUAAAUUUAUCAUGAAAUUAUAUAUUUAUCUCAGGAAGUAGCUGUGAGCCAGGAAACAAACCCGAGACUCGAGAGUAAAUUAUUUGGAUAAUUGGUGAGUGUUUUCCGAAUUUAUGUGUUUAACUGUUUAUGUGUAUCUAAGUGAAAUUAUGUGACAAAUGUGCUUAUCAUGAAUUAUUACUAAAUGAUUCCUUGUGAAGUGUAUCUCAAUUGUCCCUCACCUUCUAAGUCGAGAGUGUACUUUAUCACACUCGGCUUAGUUGAGUUUGAGGUCAAUAAUUGGCUGAAUGUUAUUGUAAGUGUGCAUGAAUGUAAGUCGUAUAUGUGCCUCACCGCAUCGGCUGAACUGGGCCCCAAAACUCUCUGUUCAACGGACUAUUCGGGCCAGCAAAGGGCUUGGUUGGGUAGGACCGUAGUUUUGAGUAAAUGUUUCGGUAUACUCGAGUAUUACCAUGAGGUUGGGAGUUAUUGAACUAAUUAUUGAAUAUAGGGGAUUGUUUGUUGUAUUGGAGGACAUAAGGAGGUGAAUCAGCGGAAUGUGCAAUGAUAUUGAAAUGAAUGUACAAUGAUGGUGAAAUAAGUGUCUCUUGAUACUGAAAUGAAUGCUCAAUGACCUUGAAGUGGCUCUAAUGCGAGCACCGUAUCCUGUUGAAAGUGAUUGUUUAGUGAAGUGUUUUUUCGAUUGCUUAAUGAAAGUGAUUGUAUAAUAAAAUGUGCACUACUUGCUUAAUUGUACUGAUUUAAGUGUUUAUUAAAUGUUGCCUACUAGGCAAACCUCACUGAGGUUUAGCUCAACCCUUUAGUUUUGUUUUCCUUAUAGGAGCUGGUGGUAGGGGAACGAACGAGGGAUCUUAGGGAGUUAACGUGAAGAUUUUUGUGAUUGUAAAUCCUUUAGUUUCAUAUUAUGGUUGAAACUUUUGUAUUGAACUUGGUAUUGUAAAAGAUUUGAGCGUUUGGUUUUGGUUAUCAAAAUGUUAUUUCUGAAGUUAAUGUAAGUGAGUGCGCCCUGGCGAGAGCCAGGCAGGCGAUCCGCUAACUUUUAGGGUAUGCCCUAGAAGAAGGUGAGGCCGUCACAACACAUGAUAUUCUUUCAAAAAAAAUUUGAAUUGUUCUCCCUGUUAUAGAACUCA
rnacentral:lncRNA from 1 species